CAGGCUGGACAAGCAGGUAGUACGACCCUGAAAGGGUGAGGACCUCGAAAGGGGAGCGAGCUCAGGUGCUGCAUGGCUGUCGUCAGCUCGUGCCGUGAGGUGUUGGGUUAAGUCCCGCAACGAGCGUAACCCCUGUCUUCAGUUGCCAUCGGGUCAUGCCGAGCACUCUGGAGAGACUGCCCAGGAUAACGGGGAGGAAGGUGGGAUGACGUACGGAAUGUCGAUA
rnacentral:misc_RNA from 1 species